AGUGAACGCUGGCGGUAGGCCUAACACAUGCAAGUCGAACGGCAGCACAGGAGAGCUUGCUCUCUGGGUGGCGAGUGGUGGACGGGUGAGGAAUACAUCGGAAUCUACUCUGUCGUGGGGGAUAACGUAGGGAAACUUACGCUAAUACCGCAUACGACCUGCGGGUGAAAGCAGGGGACCUUCGGGCCUUGCGCGAUUGAAUGAGCCGAUGUCGGAUUAGCUAGCUGGCGGGGUAAAGGCCCACCAAGACGACGAUCCGUAGCUGGUCUGAGAGGAUGAUCAGCCACACUGGAACUGAGACACGGUCCAGACUCCUACGGGAGGCAGCAGUGGGGAAUAUUGGACAAUGGGCGCAAGCCUGAUCCAGCCAUACCGCGUGGGUGAAGAAGGCCUUCGGGUUGUAAAGCCCUUUUGUUGGGAAAGAAAUCCAGCUGGCUAAUACCCGGUUGGGAUGACGGUACCCAAAGAAUAAGCACCGGCUAACUUCGUGCCAGCCGCCGCAGUAA
rnacentral:rRNA from 1 species